GUGUAGUCCAGGGUAUACGCUGGUAUACGGCGUAUACCUACUUAUUUUUCAGUCAGCAUUGCGUAUACCCACUUCUAAAUCCCCCCUGAUGCGCAUCAUUCAGUAAUAUCUGUGAGUCAGAUUGCCUAUUUUCUUCCUCGGGGAUAGUGAAGCCAUGACCCACCCUCCUCUGCCUCUAAUUGGCUGGUACUCGCUGCUUUCACUGAUUAGAUUGGUUAACUUUAGGCAUGAGGACUGAUGAGCCAAUCAGAGGCAGAGUAGGGCGGGUCAUGCCGAGGAAAAUAUCGCUAAUACCUCAGGUGCCAGUGAAAAAAAAAAAAAAAACUCAGGUGCCGGUGCCACUUGACUACGAUAACGGCAGCAGACCAAACAACGGAUGAAGAAAGGACACAAGCGGCGGUGUGCCACCCCAGUUGAUGGAAGACAUCAUUCUGAGGUAAGUUUUAAGGUGGUUUCCAAAUGAAUCAUUAUUUUAAACUACUGGCAAAUUGCCAGUGACUGCACAUUUAGAGGAGAAGAGAUGUUGCCGCCAAUAGUUAGUGCGAGUCGGCUAACGUUAUGAAGCUAGCUACGUAGAUUGGGAUAAUGUGGGGAAACCGGGGCAUUGUUGGUUUUCAGUAAGUGUUUAAUCAACCCAGUUCAUAAGAAUUUCAUACCAGACUGAUGAAACUGAUUAUCUCAAUGUUUAUGAAGCUUGUUUAUUAUUGUAAAGGUCUAAAUUAUAACGUUAGCCAAGUUACUAAGCCCUAAAUUAUAACAUUAGCCAAGUUACUUAGCCCUAACUAACCUAUAUGAUCUAGUUUAAUUGCAUAGUAGCUAAGCUGGUAGUUGAUUUUUAAGUAAGUUAAAACACAAGAAUGGGGACAAAUAGUUUAAGAUUCAGCCUAAAACAAUAUUGAGGUCUAAUCAGGCUGUCUUAUUUUGUAUAGGGACAGGUAACCAUGAAAAGGAAGGGAGAUAUUGCAGACUUUUUUUGUAAAGAGGCACAAAUCAGGCCCAGAUCAGGCCCAGGCAGACCCCACCCCUAAAACCAGCAGCCCUGGCAGCUCUCAACCGGGAGCUAGCCAGGCAAGUCAGUGUGAGCAUAGAGAAGGAUCCAGUCUACCACCACCAGGUCAGAACACACAGGCAGUAAAUUGCAUCUCCAGUUUAUUGAAAAGUGAAGCCUCACACUGUAACAAAAGACAUCAAUAAUGACUGGCCAGACCUGUGGAGUGCUAAACAAACAGAAGACUUCAAAUCCAAGAACCCCUGGUUGGGAUCCAAAAACAAAAAAUUGGGAUGUCUGGUCUGUAGCAGUGUGAACUCCAUUGGGAUCGACAAGGAGCAAGGACAAGGUGUAUCGCUCUCAAGAGAAUGGAUGAACUUUGAAAUUCAAGUGUCUGGCCAGGGAAGUAGAACAACAAGUUUGUCAAUCUUGAGAAAUAAGGUGAGGAAACAUGCGUUGUCCAAGGCCCACACUCAGGCUGUGAAGGUGGCAGAGCAACAGAAAGAAGCUGCCAUUGAGAAUGCAGUGGAGACUAUGACUGAGUCCUACAUGAAGGAAACUGAAGCUGUGUUUCGAACAGCCUACCAUCUGG